rnacentral:rRNA from 1 species
UGGGGAAUAUUGGACAAUGGGCGAAAGCCUGAUCCAGCAAUGCCGCGUGAGUGAUGAAGGCCUUAGGGUUGUAAAGCUCUUUUACCCGGGAUGAUAAUGACAGUACCGGGAGAAUAAGCCCCGGCUAACUCCGUGCCAGCAGCCGCGGUAAUACGGAGGGGGCUAGCGUUGUUCGGAAUUACUGGGCGUAAAGCGCACGUAGGCGGCUUUGUAAGUUAGAGGUGAAAGCCCGGAGCUCAACUUCGGAAUUGCCUUUAAGACUGCAUCGCUUGAAUCAUGGAGAGGUCAGUGGAAUUCCGAGUGUAGAGGUGAAAUUCGUAGAUAUUCGGAAGAACACCAGUGGCGAAGGCGACUGACUGGACAUGUAUUGACGCUGAGGUGCGAAAGCGUGGGGAGCAAAACAGGAUUAGAUACCCUGGUAGUCCACGCCGUAAAACGAUGAUAACUAGCUGUUAGGGCUCUUAGAGUUUUGGUGGCGCAGCUAACGCGUUAAGUUAUCCGCCUGGGGAGUACGGCCGCAAGGUUAAAAACUUAAAUGAAUUGACGGGGUCAUAGCUGUUUCCUG